GCCCGGCCACGCCCCCCGCGCCGGCGCAGCCAAUGGGGAGCAGCCGCUGAGGGCGGGCGCGGGCACGCGGCCAAUGGCGGGACGGCGGCGGGCGGGGGGGCGGGGCUGAGGGCGGGGUGGGGCUGGGCGGAGCUCGAACGGAGCCGAUCCCGAACCGAGCCCAGCCGAAUUAAGCCGAACUGAGCCGAAUGGGGCCGAGCUGAACCGAGCCCAGCCGAGCUCAGCCGAACGGAGCCCGACCCGAGCGGAACCCGAACGGAGCCGAACAGAGCCGAGCCCGACCCGAGCGGGGCCGAGCGGAGCCGAACCCGACCCGAGCGGGGCCGAGCGGAGCCGCCUCACGAAAUGAGGCGAAAAGAUUUAUGGAAGAGCUGACCAGCUUUCUGGGGAGGAUCUAAGACAAACCUGUGAGCUGCACCUUGCAGCCAUACAAAUUAGAGUGUCACUGGGAUCCUGGUAAACAAACUGCUGGCAGAGGGAGGAAGGCAGCAGUAAGCAGGAAUUCCAAGGGAAGGAAUUUUCUGGGAAGGACCAGCUUGUUCCUUCAGGGCCAAGUCCUGCCCUGCACCAGCUCCUCCAAUGGUCCCAAACGCUGAGAGAUCCCAUGGAACACUGGGCAGAGGAAUUCCUGUGGAAAUCGUAUUCCUGGUGUAAUGGAGCCUGUGGAACCAAGUUCCUCUGAGUGUGCUGCUGAAGAACAUCAGGAACCUUGAGAAGAUGUGUCAGCUGUGCAGGAGACAGCAAAGGUUCUUCUCAGUUAAAAACACAACUCAUAAAACAAGACAACUACCAGGUAAGAAAGAGUUUUGAAAAAGUAAACACCAUAUACACUUAUAAUACAACAGUGUAAAAUGAAAAAAAGUAUUUACAUGUUGAAUUUACUUUUAAUGUUUUUUUUACAUUGGCUAGUUCUGUUUGAAAAGCAGAAUAUUAUGUAUAGAGUUAGCUGCUCCAUAGAUAUGAAUGUUAUUGCUGUUGGUUUUUAUUCCCUUCGUUAAGUCUUCGUUCAGUAAUAGAAACAAGGAGUAAUUAAACUGAAUAUACAAGUAGUAAUAUAUUUGUAAGUACAGGGAGAGUCAACAGCCUGUAUGAAACACCUCUUCUCCCUUUGAACUUCUUAAAGGAAACUAAAGCACAGAUGAAGUGAGAGAUGUGGCAGCUCCUGCACUCGGGGCUGGAGAGCCCUGGGAGUGCAGCAGGGAAAGAAUUCCAUGUGAGUGGGACUGACUGAGGUGCUGCAGCCUCAGAAAUUACACAGAGAGCUCCCUCUCCUCCAGCACCUUCACACAGGGGCUGUCUCUGCAGAGCCCCCCUCCCCACAUCAGUGUCUCUGGGGCUGCCACAGGGACAGUUCUAAUUAUUCUGAAUUAGAAACACGUGACACACUCUGCAGAAAUAACAAUUUAACUGUUAAAUGUGUUCAGGAGAUUCCCAACAGUUUAAGCCAUUCCCUGUGAGCCCCUCCUGGGGUUUGGCUGCUGCUGGACAAUGUUUGUCCCCACCUUUCUUGCCCCUUAAUUAUCUCACUGAUUUCAAACCUUCAUUUAUGGGAAUGGCUUUUCACUCCCAAGGACUGAAUAUUGUGGAGCCUUAACUGGGGCAGGGUGAGUCCCUGUCAGGCACUGCCCUCCUGGAGUGACCAACCCGGGGCAGAACAGGAAACCAACAGCUGGAAUUUUGUUCUGGAGCCUUUUCCUGCCCCUCUGAGCCCAGGGGAGGCUGCCUGGGGGGACUGGCUGUUGGUGACACUGUUCUUGUUUCUCCUCUGAAAAUCCUGCAGGUUCCCUUCCUCCAGGAGGGUGGGAGCCUCCAGCCCAGGGAGCUCCCCUGGGCACGGAAACCACAGGUAAGAGAGUCACUUUUCCUGGGGAAAAACACCUGGAGAUGGACAGGCUGCCUUUUUUUCUUGAAUUAUAAGGGGAGAGACACUCUCAGAGAUCAGGGGAAACCCAAACAAUUUGCAAAGCCAGGGCUCAGUCCCUGAGGGAGGCCAGGGCUGUUCUCUGUGUAAUUCCCAGCAGGGCAGCAGAGCAGAGCACGAGGGACUCGAGAUGCACAGAAUGGUAAUGACAGACACAGCUGCUUAGUUUCCCUUGAAGAAAUAAGUGGAUAAUACAGCUCUGGAAAUCAUAAGGCUGAGAACAUUUUUCUGCAUACUGCAUAACAAAAGAACCCCUUUACAUAAGACAGUAAUAAUGCCCAUUAAUGACUAUAUGGCAGAGUUUAAUCCAUGCAUAUGAUUUAAUAAUCGCAGAAAAAAAAAUACAAAGAAAAUAAAACCCCACAUAAAAAAAAAAAAAAACAAACAAAAAACAAACCUGCUCAAGCAUAAUCAAAAUUCCUUUUGCAUUGCACUUUAGAAGGAGAUCUGCACCUAGAGCCAGUCUCCAGCCUCCCAAACACAAGGGCCAACCAACCCCUGUAUCCACAGACAGGUUCAGGUCAUGGACUUGGUGUGACUGUUUCUUGCUCCCAACAGUUUUACAUUGUCCCAGUAAUUCCACUCCUUUCAUAUUUCUUCUUCCUUUUUUUGUACCUAAAACAUAUAUAUGAACUUCUUUGUUAAUGCUCACAGUUAUUAUAAUGGUUAUUAUAAUGGUUUCAAGCAAACAGCUCUUGUUUAAAAAAAAAAAAAAAUCUCUCUAAUGUACUGUAAGUAAAUACCAUAAUUUUAGGAUUGGAAGCCGCUUUCUGUCUACUGGGAAAUAAUUUUGAAGCUUACAUAGUUUGCAUUAAUGUCCAAAAGCAAAUAAAGAUUACUGGAAAUAUGUUCCUUUGUUUAGAGUAACUUCUGGGUAUGAUGAUGCAUGGGGGGGGUUCUCUUUUUUCUUUUUUUUUUUAUUUCUUUUCUUUUUAUUCUUUUAAGGUAAAAAAGUGUCAGCAUCGCCUAGAGAAGAUGCUGAGAGGAAAAAUGAGCUGGAAGGCACAUCUGCAGCCCCAGAUCACAUUUUCACAUUUGAGUGUGUCAGAGGUGAGUGUUUAGGGGUGAAAAUAACUUUUCUCUUGAUCAGUAAAGCACCAGCUUUAUUUGUUAAGCACUUCUGGGAGCAUCUCAGCUGCUCCCCAGCUUGGGUCAGAUACACAGCCACAAAACCAGUUCCCUGGUCUGGUGAAUUCCUGCUUGGGAUGUUCUGGACCUGCUGGAUCCUCCUCUGUGGAGAUGCUGAUGGGAGGUGGCAGUGCUGGCAGGUUGGGUUCAUGGUUUGCACAGCUCUCAGGGCAGAAUCUAGAAUGCUUGGCUUCAGAAACAGGGAAUAAAAUGCAGAGUAAGAUUCUGACAAAGUGCAGGUUUAAAAAAAAAAAAAAAAUAUAAAAAAACCUCAGCACCACCCCCAGGGCAGUGAUGGCUGCGUCGUGUCCCGGGGCUGCGGCUUGGACCCCAACAUGAAAGUGAGCUUCUUGUUAAAACAAAAAGGGUUUUAAUAAAAAAACCAUGUGGCUUCUUCACAGCAGCAAAACCGUCGGUGGUGUGGUCUGUGGUGUCCGAGGCUGCACCUCCCUGGGCAUGGGAAUCCUGCACUUCCUGGGCACAGGAAUCCUGCACUUUCCAGGGCACAGGAAUCCUGAACCUCCCUGGGCACAGGAAUCCUGCACUUUCCAGGGCACGGGAAUCCUGCACUUCCUGGGCACGGGAAUCCUGCACCUCCCUGGGCACAGGAAUCCUGCACUUCCUGGGCACGGGAAUCCUGCACCUCCCUGGGCACAGGAAUCCUGAACCUCCCUGGGCACAGGAAUCCUGCGUUUCCUGGGCACGGGAAUCCUGCACUUCCUGGGCACGGGAAUCCUGCACCUCCCUGGGCACAGGAAUCCUGCACUUCCUGGGCACGGGAAUCCUGCACCUCCCUGGGCACAGGAAUCCUGCACCUCCCUGGGCACGGGAAUCCCGACAGGCAGCUCGGGACAGGGGCAGGGAAAUACUGAACUCACGGCGAGAUGGUGCAACGAGAUGAGUUUUCCAGAAAACUGAAAGCUGAAGAUUUCAGAAUGACUUCAACACACAGAUGUCUCUGCUUUGUUCCUCUACCAACUGAUCAUCCAUUUCCUUCCUCCCUUUCUUUCUUCCCUUUCCCAAAGCUCAAGUGCUCCUGGAUGAAGUCUCUGCACACACCAAGGGUGCUGGCGUGGGCUGCACACGCGGGGCCCGUGGGGCUCUCAGUCCAACACCACCUCCUUCCCCACCCCCUGCACGCUCCUGCAUCUUCCCUUCUUCUCGUGUUUAGGGCAGGAAAUUAAGAUAAUUCUUUCUAAGGAAAAAAAAAAAUCAACUUGGAAAAGCACUCUGAACUUCCCCCACCCCCACGUGACGGGAUGGAACCGCGCUGGCUUCCGAGAUGGCUGGAAAACUGCUCCUGACAUGGCACCAUCACCAGAGAGGGGCUUCUGCACAAAGAAUCCCAAAGCCUAUAAAGUCAUUAAAAAUUGUGCAUCGAAGGUUUGUUGUUUUUUUGUUUGUUUGUUUUGUUUUGCUUUUAAACGUUCAUUAUAAAAAAAUCGUGUAAUUUUUUUUUUAACACCAAGUCUGUGUAAUGAAUUAUUUUAAAUAGCUUAUAAGAAAAGUUGGUUUGCUUUGUCAAUUCCAAAAUGUUCCAACGGGCAGGAGAACACAACCCCCCUGCCCUGCUCGCCUUGGACUCUGGGUUCAGCUGGACGACGCCGCUUGCUCCGAGUUUGCCAGUAGAAAAUUCUCGCUGUGGACUUAAAAGUAUUUUGUUUUACAAACACUUUGUGUUUUCUAGGCACAGUAAGAUGUUGUGCUAUAUGGAUCGGGAAGGAGAAAAAAAAACAAAAACAAAAAAGAGGCAGAAUUCAGUGCUUCUGUUCUAGAGGGUAACAACGUUUGCCUUCCAACUGCUGCGAGUCCGAGUUCCCGCCGGUGCCAGGACACCUCACCCCCCGCGCCCGCCCUGCGGCGCCGCUCCCGCCCUGCCCUGCUCGGGGCUCAGUUCUCCAUGGGGCUCGAGGUGCUCUCGCUGCUGGGCUGGCUGCUCGACUUAGGCCACAGUUGUUCCUGAAGUUCCUUGACCACCUUCUCCAAGUGUUCCCGGGCCUCCCGCUCGUGCAGGAGGUCGGCGCGGAGCUGCUCCCGGUCGGCCUCGGCGUGCUGCAGCUUCACCUGCAGGUCCUCGAUCUGGGGGCAGAGCAAACGGGGAUGCCUCAGGAGCCUGCACUGCACCACAGAGCUCUGCACAGGCUGAGAGGAGGGACAAAACCCUGCACUUCAGGGGUAAGACUCUCAGGAUUGAGGCAAGGAAGGAAUUCCCUUUUCCGUACUUUUUUCCCUGCAGGGGCUGCUGAGCUUUGAAACUUCCCAGUGACUCCAGCUCCAGCAAGGGAGGUGAAAGCCAGCAGAGUUAAGAGACAGCCUAAGAAUUCCUUAAUGCAACAGAACUCUGGUCACUCCUUACACCUUCACUUCUUGAGGCAGAGACAGCUCUGGCACAGCUGGAGGGCCUGGGGGGCUUGGGGGGCUGUGACAGGGCUGGAAUCAAACACCAGGGGAUGCUGCCAACCUGCCAGUCCUGGCUUUAGAAAAGAUAAACCUGCAGAACAUUCUGCUACUUGAGUUCUUUUUGAGGUGAUUUUAGCCUUUCAUCUUGGGAAACCUCAUUUAUUCCUUCCCAAGGAGGGAAUGCAUUAGGAGACUGAAAUUCCCCGUUGUCACAGGCUCUGGAGCAGCCCCAGUGCCCGGCUGGACAGAGCUGGAGCACACCCAGCCCAGCCCAGGGGUUCACCUGCCCUGCUGGUGCCUGGGUUGUGUGCUCUGGGAACAGCCAGGCACGCCCAGGGCAGCAGCUCCCGGCGUGGCUCUGUUUAGUCUGGACACCCCUUAUCAGUGAGACAUCCUGUGAUGCUGGAGAGGAAGCCCCACAUCAUUUCCUGCUCCUGCUCAGACGUGUCUCAGCAGCACAGGGGCCACUCCCCUUCCCGUUAUCAGAGAGCCUCUGAUUGCCAGGGCUCUGCUUUUCCUCUUCCCCUCCUCCCUUAAAGCCACCACACCAAAUACCUGCAGCUCCCACCUGAGACCCAGCACUGGCUCCAAGGAGCUCCUGUGUCUGACAACACCCUGCCCAGCACCCCCCGGCUCCCAGAGCUCCUCUGGCAGCAGCUCAAUGUCCUCUGGGAGGCAGAGCCUGCCGAGGGUGACCCGUGUGUGGCAGGGCCGUGGGGGCGAGUUUGAACUCGAGGAGUUUAAGUUGGUCCCUGUGCCCCGUUUUUGGGAGUCCUGCCCUUUCCUGACGCGCUUUCCCCCAGGCUGUCCCUGGGAGGGCGGUGGAGCCGCAGGGACAGGGACAGGCACAGGCACAGGGACAGGGACAGGCACAGGCACAGGGACAGGGGAGGGCUGUCUCAGCUCGGGGGUCUCACCUGGGCCGAGUACUUGGCUCGGAGCCGUCCGGCCUCGCAGCCCUUGUCGCACACGCGGAUCUGCCGCGCCUGCUCCAGCUCCCGCUUCAGCCGCACCCGCGACUCGUUCGCCUCCUUCAUCUUCUUCUCGUUCUCCGCCCGCAGGCGCUCGAUCUCCUUCCGCAGGUUGCGCUUGGCCUCGGUGGCUUCCCGCAGCUUCUCCUUCUUGGCCACCCUCAGGAACUCCAGCUCCUGGGCACAGAGGAGGGAGGUGUGAGCAGGGGGAGCAGAGCCCUGGGAUCCGAACCCCAUCCCCACCUCCCGCCGGCCGGGACCGAGGCAGCUCGGGGCUAAACCCUGCUCUGACCCUCGGACAAGCUCUUUUCCUUUAAAUCCUCUGGGGUUCCUGCACUCCAGCCACCCUGAAGUCCUGGAUAACAAAAAGCUCAAGGGUGCAGCCACGUUUUGCUUUGUCAAGCAGAAUGGCUGCGACCAUCUGGGCCUGAAUAAAGAUGAAGUGCUGUUGGAGAGAGCUCCCAGCAACGUGCUCUGCUCCGGCUCCACGUUCCAAACCCCCCAACUGCAAAGCCCGGGCUGGAACUGGAGGCACUGGAGAUGCACAACAUGGUAAGUGCAGGUUGGGAGUGUCCUUUGUGUCCAGCAAAGCUCAAGAGGGAAGUUCACAACCAGCAGCAGCUCCAUUGGACCAAAUCCCCCAAAAAUCCGCUUAAGGCAAGUUCAAAGCACAAACUGUGUGUUUUCUAACCCUGGGUGCUGUGGGUGACUGGUGUGAGCCCCAAGUCUCCUGGCAACCAGCCCAUGGACUGCCCUGUCACAAGAGCUGGAGAACUCCAGGCUCCCUGGAGCUGAACUGAACCUGGGCACUGCCCCUCCCAGGAUCUGAACAGGAGCUGCUGCCUUGGAAUCUAAAUCCAUGGGAGAGGGAUAAGGAACAUUAAGGUACACAGGAGGCAGCUCCUAAGCUGUUGAAGUCCAUGUUCAUCAUGAGCACAGAGCUGUGGCUCACAGGUCUGUCUCCUAAAUGGUUAAAUUAGAAACUGAGGAUCUUUUUUCCCUCAGCAGCAGCAUUUCCUCCCUGUCCAGCCCCGGUUUCUGUGCAGUAACAGUGCAGGCAGGGCAUGGGAAAUGCACUCUGACAAUCUCACUUCCCAGCCAGGCCAUUGUUAGCACGGCCCUGCCUCUGGAAGGGCACACAGAGCCUGGAAACACACACACAUGGACCUUCUGUGUGUGGGACUGGGAACCCAGAGCUUCCCAAAGGGAAAACGGUGCCCAGACACCCCUGACAUGGGGAGAGACACUUAACACCUCACCACUCAAUUCUGCUGCAGCAACUGCUUCCUGUAACUCCUGCUUUAAGUACCCACUAUUUAGUUUAGAUAUUUAAAUAUUAGCUUUAAAUAUAUAUCAUUUAUAAAAGUUUACUUUGAGAUACAUAAAAUAAAGCACAGAUUUACUGAAACACCAGGGAAUGAAGUGAUUUGCUCAGGGUAACUAAGAACAAGCCAAAGAGCCCCAGUGCUGGUUUUGUGUCUCCCAUGCUCCAUCUGCACCAUCCCAUGGAUUUGUCCCAGCUUGGGAACAGCUCCACAGAAUACUCAGAGAGGACACACAAAUCUCCUGCCUUGGCUGUAUCUUCUAUUUCUCUGCACUUCUGUCCCAGCCCCCAAAAAAACCAGUUCAGCCACCACUGGGCUCAGCUCAUGGCCAGCACUGACCUGCAGCUCUGUCUGAUCACUCUGAUACAACCCCUGUGUCCAGGAUUUCCAGAAAUAAGGAGCUGCUUCCCUGACUGAAGCCAGUGGGAUGCCUGACAAAGACCUCAGUUCAGCUGUGGCCAAGCCCCAGGAACACCCUCCCUCAGCUGGGACAUGGCAGGGUUUUCACAAAGCUUUUAAAACUCCAGCUAAAGCCUCCAGAAAUGUUUCCUGUUCAGUGAGAUGAAAACAAAAUAAACUCUGCUGGACUAGGAGACUUUUUCAAGUAAUGAAAAGAUGUUGAUUUUGGUAACCAUGGACUUAUAACCCAAGGAAAAACAGGUGGAAAGCUUAAAGGUGGAGGAAUGGUCCCUGUGCUUUGGUUUCCUGGCUGGAUUUACAAACAGAGCCCUGGCAAAGGCUGUUGCUAUUUGGGAUAAGUGAGGCAAUUCCCUUUUCCCAGGAGGGUCCCCAGUGCCCCUGAGGAGCCCCGAGCAGGGCAGGGCAGGGCAGGAGGGGUGGCAGUACCUGGUGCAGGCUGCGCUUGGCCUGCAGGGCCGCGUUCAGCUUCUCCUCCUGCUUCACCCUCAUCUUCACCACCUCGUGCAGGAAUUUCUCUUUGGCUUCUUUUGUGUCCAGGCCACUGUCCAGGGCCUGCCUGAGGUGCUCCAGCUCAGCUUCCAAGCCGCUGCUGUGGGAGUCAGGGUGUGCUGCCACCUCGUAGGAGCUGUUGACGGGCACGGGGGGCUGCAUCCCAGGGGAGCUCAUGUCCUUGGCAGAGCUGGAUGAAGUGAAGGAUGGGGAGGAGAGCGAGGAUAAGGAGGAGGUGACUGGAAAACAGAAACAUUGAAACAUUCAUUUAAAAAUGUCUAAAAUCAAUACAUGUAUUAUAGACAGCUCAUACAUAACUCAUAUUUAAGAGUUGGACUCGAUGAUUCUUGUGGGUCCCUUCCCACUCAGCAUAUUCUGAGAUAUAUAUUUUAUAUAUAUAUAUAUAAUAUAGCUCAAAAGAUGCUGAGGCCCUUUUAUACAGACACUUAUCAAUAUUCAAUUAAAAAAAAAAAAAGAAAGAAAAUAAAACCUGGCUCGUUUUAUACUGAGAUACUUGAAUUAUGACACAAAGCAGCCCUGACUCAAGGGACCAACUCGCAAUUUGUCUGAAUUGUGACCAUGCAAUUCACGUCACCGUUGAGGCUUCGGGCUUCCAGAAUUCCAUCUGAACACCCAAAAAGCUGCACAGUGAAAGAUCCAGCCCAAAGACAGCAAAACAAAGGCAGGUACGACCACCACUCACAUUCUUCCCUGGUUUCUACUUCAAUUUCUGCUUCCGACUCCUUGUCCUCCUCGGGGGCCGGGGCCGUGGCCUCGGGAGCAGCCACGUGUUCCACGUGUUUCCUUUUCCUGGGCUGGGCAGAGCUCAGGGAGUCGCUGCCCCGGGACACCACGGUGGCACAGGGGGGGUUGCUCACGAUCUUCUGCUGGGCUGGGGGGGCCAGGGCCACGUUGGGGGCCACGGCGCUCUCGAAGCUCUUGUAGGAGUAGAAGCUGGUUCAGAGCGGGAGGCAAAAGGAAGGAGAAGAGGGUCACAUUCUCGGUUUCAGAAUGCUCCCCAGGCCAUGUGUGGCACUGGAAUGACAGUGAGUUCACUGAUCCACACCAGCUGAGAACCUGCUGUAUCUCCAGCCCUGAUUCACACCAGCUGAGAACCUGCACUUGUCAGUGUUUGCUCUCAUUAAACCUGGAGAUGAGGGACAGGACACCCCGAGCACCCAGCUGGGAAGGGAUCACAUUCCCAGUGCCACGUAUCCCAAGGGCACCAAAGGGAUGGGACCUCCCAGAGCCUGCAAGUCACAACACUGUCCCCUCCUGCUCCUGCACUGUUGCUUUGCCCAGCUGCACACUGCACUUGUGUCCAUCCACAAACGCUCUGGGAGCUCAAACCAGCACUUCCCAAAGGAAAGUCAUGGAGUGCCAGAGAGUCUUUGGUGUGUCUGUGAUUUGGACACAGCACCCAAGUGCCCACGUGUAAACCAGAGGUGGAACAACCAACACAGCUGUGGUAAAGAGCAGCAGUACUGUAACAUCAAAUAUGUAGGAUUUUGCAAAAGGAACAGCCAAGACUUUGUAUCUUCCAUUCAGCAUCUCCGACACCACAUGCCUUCAGUUAUGUGUUAAAAUUCCUCCUGAACCUGCUAAGGAUGGAGCUGUGCUGGGAACACAGCUUGUGCCAGGGAGCUGCUGCAGGGCCCAUGGAAUGGAUGGGAAUGGAUGGAUGCUCCCUGACCACCUGCCUGACACAGUGACUCCACUGCCUUUAAAUGAAAGCCCAAGAACUUCAGUGACUGUCCCCAGAGGGACCAUCCCUUCCCCACAGCCUUCCCUUCCCAUUUUCACAGCAGGUUUCACCCCAGAAAACCCAUUUAAUGAACACACAGACCACCAACACUUCUGGUUUCCCUUCUGCCAAUCCCACCACUGACGGUGGUGCAGUGAGGGAGGGACAAAGCCACCCCCCCAGAAGGAACCUGCCCCUCCCUGUGUCCUUACCUGUCCCGGAUGAGGGCGGGGAGGUGGCCCGAGAGCUCCUUCUCGCCGGCCGACACCGCGGGGGACCAGGGCCGGAACGCCGAGAGCCGCUGCCGGGGGUGCACACAGCCGAUGCUCUGGGGACAGGAGUGACACCCACAGUCCUUCAUGGCACAGCACGGGGACACCCAGGGCCACCCUGCCCUCCCCAGGGCCACCCCGCCAUCCCCAGGGCCACAUCCCAGUCCCCAGGGCCACCCUGCCCUCCCCAGGGCCACAUCCCAGUCCCCAGGGCCACCCUGCCCUCCCCAGGGCCACCCCACCAUCCCCACAACCACCCCCACCACGGCCAGGCCCUGCUCCCGCCAGGAAAACCUCACGUGUGUUCUGGGCCAACGAGUUCUGUGCAGGGCACAGGGACCACAAACAGCUCCUGAGUCCUGUAGGAUUCCUGCACCUCAAAGGCAGGAGGGAAUUCCUCACUUCCCUGUCCCAGUCCGGGUCAGUGGGCACUGGAGGGUGGCAGGGACACGGGGGGACCGUGCAGCUCAACGCUGACCAGGAGGAUGGAAAUGGUGCUAAUUUAGAAAACCUGGGCAGGUUGGUUCUCUUGUUUUCUCCUCAUUUCCCCACUCCAUGCAGUGAUGGCAUGUGCUAAUUUGAUCUUUCAAUUACAAAAUAUUCAACAAUCACCUUGUUGGAUGAACUGGAUAAGGACCGUAACCAACUGGACUGUUUCUCCUUCUCAGAAGAAGCUGGAGAUUGGGAAGCAGAGUCAUCUGUUUUGGGCUUUUUGGAAGCAGGAGGAUCUGAAGAGACCUGAAACAAAGACAGGCAGGAAAACCCAAAGUCAGAAUUCCUCACUUUGCAAUCAGCUCAGAAACAGGUUAUAAGGCAAAAGCCAAAUUUGUAUUUAAAAGGAAGAAACCUUGGGUGCUGUCCUGUAAGGCCAAACAAAGGAGUGAAAACAAGGGGCAGACACCAGCUGUGACACAACAGAGCUCAUCCCGUCCCUCGGGAUCCUCCAGGGCAGUGUGGAGGGUGCAGGACACAGGGGCAGUGACCUGAGGGAGACACUGCACACAACUGUCGGCCCUUUAUGAUUUCUGUGUGCAGAAAGUGGUUGUUAUGCCGAUGACUUCACUACCCCACAGCUGCAGUGGAUUCUGGGGGUGCUGCCAAGAGCUGCUUUGCCUUUUCCACAAGUGGCUCAGCUUGGCCCAUAAAUCAUCCUCAAGCACAAGAAAGCCCUUUGGCAAGCAAACCCCCUUUCCUUCAACACUGUGAAGGAAUAAAAUUCCUAUAGUCCCAGCGUGGCUUGCAAAAAAAUUGGUAACUACUGGUUUAACUGGUGCUCUGGGGAUCCCAGCUGGAAGCCCUGCCAGCACAAACACCUCCACGGGCAGGGAGGGAGAAGGUUCUGGACCCUGUGCUGCAUCGUGACCAGAUAUAAUAAAAGAAACGUUCC